UACGGGGGGGGCAAGCGUUGUUCGGAAUUACUGGGCGUAAAGGGCUCGUAGGCGGCCAACUAAGUCAGACGUGAAAUCCCUCGGCUUAACCGGGGAACUGCGUCUGAUACUGGAUGGCUUGAGGUUGGGAGAGGGAUGCGGAAUUCCAGGUGUAGCGGUGAAAUGCGUAGAUAUCUGGAGGAACACCGGUGGCGAAGGCGGCAUCCUGGACCAAUUCUGACGCUGAGUGAGCGAAAGCCGGGGGAGCAAACGGGG
rnacentral:rRNA from 1 species